rnacentral:rRNA from 1 species
GACGAACGCUGGCGGCGUGCCUACUACAUGCAAGUCUAACGCAGUGGGGACGGGUGAGUAACACGUGGGUAACCUCCCAUCAGAGGGGAUAACACUUGGAAACAGGUGCUAAACCGAUACUGAUUGAUGGACCCUCGGUGCAUUAGCUAGUUGGUGAGGUAACGGCUCACCAAGGCCACGAUGCAUAGCCGACGUUAGAGGGUGAUCGGCCAAACGGGGACUGAGACACGGCCCAGACUCCUACGGGAGGCAGCAGUAGGGAAGCGUCGGCAAUGGACGAAAGACUGAACGAGAAACGCCGCGGGAGUGAAGAAGUGUUUCGGAUCGUAAAACUCUGUUGUUAGAGAAGCGGUAUCUAACCAGAAAGCCACGGCUAACUACGUGCCAGCAGCCGCGGGAAUAC